rnacentral:lncRNA from 1 species
UGUUCUAGUCCUUCCUUUUGCAAACAAACCAACUCAUUUAUUUGUGGGAGACUUCCCUUCUUCAAGCUCGUAAAGCACUUGGUGGUGGUUUUGGAAAAAACAAGCACGUGGCCUCAAGGUCUUUCUCCCGAUGAUGAAUAUUUGCUCCCCUAAUAUUGACUCUGGUUUUUGUGACCUAAUGCGAAUUAGCUGCCCUGCUUUGGUAUUUUUCUGCAUACUCAAAAUCCUUUCAUUUCAGUGCGGAAUCAUAGCAACUCCCUGUGAAGACAUUCUAACAAAAAUGAAAUUCAACCCAUGUGCUCCUGAUAAGAUGGACAGUCCUGGUGAGGUGCGGAGGGCCCAGGGAGCUUCUGACUGCAAGCGCACACUUUUAGAGAUGCCAGAAGUUUUUCAGGAGAUGGAGCACCCAUGUCAUGCAAGGCACACACGGGCUAGCGCCAGAGAAGAGGGCAGCACUGGGCAUGGGGAGAGGGAGAAGCCCAAAGGGAGUUGGCUAAUUCUGGAAUGUUCUGGGGUUAAAGAGCAUCACUGGGCUGAAGGCACCACGAUAUGGCAAUGCAUUUGA